rnacentral:lncRNA from 1 species
CUGGGGCACACCUUCAGCUCCCCUUGCUGCCGGGACACCAUGUUACACCUGUACUUGGAUGCAGCAGCUGAACUUUACAUGAAUACUAGAGGCUGUGGAUGCCAACUUACAUUGACCUGAGAGAACAAUAACAUAGCCGUCAAGAGCACAGAGCUUGAGGAUCAGCUGCACCAGGGGAGGAGGUUCAAACUCUCCCUAACAAUCCGGAGGGUGUGCAAUGGGAGCCACUCCCCAGUCCGCAGCUUGUGGAGGGACA